rnacentral:rRNA from 1 species
UACGGGGGGAGCAAGCGUUGUUCGGAUUUACUGGGCGUAAAGGGCGCGUAGGCGGCCACCGCAAGUCGACUGUGAAAUCUCCGGGCUUAACCCGGAAAGGUCAGCCGAUACUGCGGGGCUAGAGUGCAGAAGGGGCAACUGGAAUUCUCGGUGUAGCGGUGAAAUGCGCAGAUAUCAGGAGGAACACCGUGGCGGAAGGCG